rnacentral:rRNA from 1 species
GAUGAACGCUGGCGGCGUGCCUAAUACAUGCAAGUCGAGCGAACGGACGAGAAGCUUGCUUCUCUGAUGUUAGCGGUGGACGGGUGAGUAACACGUGGAUAACCUACCUAUAAGACUGGGAUAACUUCGGGAAACCGUAGCUAAUACCGGAUAAUAUUUUGAACCGCAUGGUUCAAAAGUGAAAGACGGUCUUGCUGUCACUUAUAGAUGGAUCCGCGCUGCAUUAGCUAGUUGGUAAGGUAACGGCUUACCAAGGCAACGAUGCAUAGCCGACCUGAGAGGGUGAUCGGCCACACUGGAACUGAGACACGGUCCAGACUCCUACGGGAGGCAGCAGUAGGGAAUCUUCCGCAAUGGGCGAAAGCCUGACGGAGCAACGCCGCGUGAGUGAUGAAGGUCUUCGGAUCGUAAAACUCUGUUAUUAGGGAAGAACAUAUGUGUAAGUAACUGUGCACAUCUUGACGGUACCUAAUCAGAAAGCCACGGCUAACUACGUG